rnacentral:rRNA from 1 species
CUACGGGACGCUCCAGUGAGGAAUUUUGCGCAAUGGGGGGAACCCUGACGCAGCAACGCCGCGUGAGUGAUGAAGGCUUUCGGGUCGUAAAGCUCUGUCAAGUGGGAAGAACCUAUGCAGUGUUAAUAUCACUGUAUACUGACGGUACCACUGAAGGAAGCACCGGCUAACUCCGUGCCAGCAGCCGCGGUAAUACGGGGGGUGCAAGCGUUAUUCGGAAUCAUUGGGCGUAAAGGGCACGUAGGCGGCUUGGUAAGUCAGGUGUGAAAGCCCGGGGCUUAACCCCGGAAGUGCAUUUGAUACUGUCAGGCUUGAGUAUGGGAGAGGGAAGUGGAAUUCCUGGUGUAGAGGUGAAAUUCGUAGAUAUCAGGAGGAACACCGGUGGCGAAGGCGACUUCCUGGACCAAUACUGACGCUGAGGUGCGAAGGCGUGGGUAGCAAACAGGAUUAGAUACCCUGGUAGUC